GAUGAACGCUGGCGGCGUGCCUAAUACAUGCAAGUCGAGCGAACAGACGAGGAGCUUGCUCCUCUGACGUUAGCGGCGGACGGGUGAGUAACACGUGGAUAACCUACCUAUAAGACUGGGAUAACUUCGGGAAACCGGAGCUAAUACCGGAUAAUAUAUUGAACCGCAUGGUUCAAUAGUGAAAGACGGUUUUGCUGUCACUUAUAGAUGGAUCCGCGCCGCAUUAGCUAGUUGGUAAGGUAACGGCUUACCAAGGCAACGAUGCGUAGCCGACCUGAGAGGGUGAUCGGCCACACUGGAACUGAGACACGGUCCAGACUCCUACGGGAGGCAGCAGUAGGGAAUCUUCCGCAAUGGGCGAAAGCUUGACGAAGCAACGCCGCGUGAGUGAUGAAGGUCUUCGGAUCGUAAAACUCUGUUAUUAGGGAAGAACAAAUGUGUAAGUAACUAUGCACGUCUUGACGGUACCUAAUCAGAAAGCCACGGCUAACUACGUG
rnacentral:rRNA from 1 species